AUAGGACACCGGACGUUUCGUACAGGUCCUGCGUGAUUGUUACUGACAGAGUUCUUAUUAUUAUCAUCGAAUAUUAUCGAUAAAAUUGUGACAAAUUGUGUUGUUCCAUUACUUACUGUGUGUCUUGUUGUCUGUUAUAUGGAAAGCAUUGUAGUCCUAAGACAUAAUAUGAAGUUGGUUUAGUAGUACAUUCAAUGUGGAACAGCUAGCUUAUGUUCUGCCGUCAGACUGAAUUGUAUGAUAAGCAGCUAUUGCACGUAAGAAUUCGUGAGCACUUUCAACGCAGAGUGGCUGAGAAAGACAACAAUGAAUCCAGUUCAGGACAUCGCCACGUCUGGCUACAGUGACGUUUGCAAUUGCUGCAGGAAGUUGUGUGGUAAUGUUUUGCGAGGCAAACGGAUAUAUUUGUCCAAACUCGAUUUUUCAGCAUUUUAUUGUCCCUUACAUUUGUUGGUUGAAUGAUAUAGCAGACAUCGAGUGGCAGAGAUGACAAUAAAUACAAAAUUCUAGUCAUAAAGAGCUGAAGGGUAGAGUUCACUUUUCAUACCUAUGCUCAGGUGUAGAUAGAACGAUAAUAUUAAAAUGGAUCUCACUGAAAUAGGGUGAGACAGUAUUGACUGGAUUCAUGUGGCAGAGGAUAAGCAUCAGUAAAGGGCUUUUGUGGAUAAGGUAAUGGACCAUUGGGUCCCAUAAUAGGUGUGAAAUAGGUGAGUGACAAAUUCCCAAGAAGGCUUCUUCUACGCCUUAUAUUUUCUGCCUGGAAGAACCAUUUGGCCUACGUGUAUUAAUGCGCGACUACCGCAUGAUGAAUCAGUCUUGGAUUCCUGCGGUUAUGUUUAUUCCAACAUUAAAUUCCGUAAGAAUACGUUCAAGGAGAGUUUCAAAUGGACAAACGUGACAAUCAUGAUGAUGGAAAGUGCAGCACGGUUUCAAGACCUAUCAGCAUGUGCACUAGAAUUUCAUGUCGUUUGUGGCGUUUCAUGUAGCAGUCUUGAA